rnacentral:rRNA from 1 species
AGCGAACGCUGGCGGCGUGCCUAACACAUGCAAGUCGAACGUGAAAGGGAGCAAUCCCAAGUAAAGUGGCGUACGGGUGAGUAACACGUAGGUAAUCUACCCCAGAAUCUGGAAUAACCGGCCGAAAGGCUGGCUAAUACUGGAUAGAGCGACGGAAUCCGUAAUUGGGUUUUUCGGGAAAGGGAGCCUGUAAAAAGGCCUUCGUUCUGGGAUGAGCCUGCGUCCCAUCAGCUAGUUGGUGAGGUAAAAGCUUACCAAGGCAAUGACGGGUAGCUGGUCUGAGAGGACGAUCAGCCACACUGGAACUGAAACACGGUCCAGACUGCUACUGGAGGCAGCAGUGGGGAAUCUUGCGCAAUGGACGAAAGUCUGACGCAGCAACGCCGCGUGAGUGAAGAAGGCCUUCGGGUUGUAAAGCUCUGUCGAGUGGGACGAAAAUGCUUGGAGUUCACAGCUCCAGGAACUGACGGUACCACUAAAGGAAGCACCGGCUAACUCCGUG